UACGUAGGUGGCAAGCGUUGUCCGGAAUUAUUGGGCGUAAAGCGCGCGCAGGUGGUUCCUUAAGUCUGAUGUGAAAGCCCACGGCUCAACCGUGGAAGGUCAUUGGAAACUGGGGAACUUGAGUACAGAAGAGGAAAGUGGAAUUCCAAGUGUAGCGGUGAAAUGCGUAGAUAAUUUGGAGGAACACCAGUGGCGAAGGCGACUUCUGGUCUGUAACUGACACUGAGGCGCGAAAGCGUGG
rnacentral:rRNA from 1 species